GCAGUAUCAGUGAAGAGAAAUCAGAGUUAACGUUUCGGGUCGAGUGACCCUUCCGGAGAACAAGGAAACUCGGAACGGUUCUCAGUACUCAGACUGCGCCACUCAGCCCGGUGACCGCCUCCAGCCGCAGUGCCGGCUCUCUGUGCCCCGGGGACCCCGGCUCACCUCGAUCAGGCCGCGGUUUAAUGGCUUCCCCGAUCUGUGAAUCAGGAUAAGGAAAAGAAAUGACUUUUUUGGAUGAGGUCACAAAAUCCAAGGAGGAUUCCUGGAAUGUCGACAUUAUGGCCAAUUGACACAGAUUUUCUCCAGCCAUCAACUGAACAACUUCACAAUCCAGCAGGCACUUGACCGAAGAUUCACAGAAUGUGAACAUCACUAGCAAUGCCAACAUUUGUUGCUCGUCCCCAAUUGCCUUAGAAAUGGUAUGGUCAACCAUUAUGGUGGUGAAGGUAUGCUGUUACAGAGUUCAAGGUGUUCAAUGUGGCUGGUACAAGUUCGGAGAAUGAUGGGCUACUUCUUGCUUGCCUGGCAAUGUUGAAGAAGCUCUACACCAUCUAGGAAAAGGAAGCAUAUUUGAUUGAUGGUUGAUAGGAUGUCAAAAACAUUUAGUUCUUUCACUGUGCCUGCAAUGCAUACCAUCAAUGAGAUACAUUGAGCAACUCACCAACAUUUCUUCAAUAACAUCUUUCAGAAACACAAUCUCCGUAGUCAAAAAGGACAGGAGCAACAGGCACAUGGGUGCAUCACCACCUCCACGUUUCCCUCCAAGACAGUGUAACUGCACAAUGAGAUUACUUUCAUCACUGGCCUGGUAGCUCAGUGGUUAGCACUGCUGCCUCACUGCACCAGGGACACGGGUUUAAUUCCAGCCUCGGGCAACUGUGUGUGUGGAGUUUGCAUAUUCUCCUCAUGUCUGUGUGGGUUUCCUCCAGUGUCUUCCGGUUUCCUCCCAUAGUCCAAAGAAGUGCAGGCUAGGUGGAUUGGCCAUGGGGAAUGAAGGGUUACAGGAAUAGGGUAGGGAGGUGGGCCUGGGUGGGGUGGUCUUCAGAGGGUUGGUGUGGACUUGAAAGGGCAAAUGGCCUGCUUCCACAGCAUGAGGAUUCUAUGAUAAACACUUGAUUGGUUGUUUCUUCUUGGUGGCUUUGGAUUAUGAGCUUUUAAAAUUAAAUAUAGUGAUUUGAUUGCUCAAUUCUUUAUGGCUCAUUCAUUGACUAAAUCAAUUUGCUUUUGCUUUGUUCAGGUUUAGCAAAUAAUAAGUCAAGACCACAUUUUAGCCAAUCACAAUUCUUCACUCAACAGAUAUGGGGUGCUAAAGUGCAACAGCUGAAAUAUGACAAUAGUGAAAUGUGAUGCAUUAAUUGUGUGGCAUGUAACACGAUGGCUGCACUAGACGUUAAAUGUUCACACCUCAUAGAUAUAUGGCAACUUUUCUCCUGAAAGUGACCAAAGGAUAGGACUAUUGAAAUAAAACCAGAUUAAUGCUGGAAUUACACUACAGGUCAGGCAGAAACUCAAGAGAGAACGCUUCAAUGUUGAAAUCUUAACUGUUUCUGACCUUGGAUAUUCCCCUUCACUAUUAAGUAUGUCUAAUAAUUUCCGACUUAGUUUCCGAAUUUCAGCAUUUGCAUCUCUUUGAGGCCAACGAGGGAUAGGCUGAUAUAUAAAUGUGCAAUCAGAAAGUAUUGAAACAGCAACAUUUGGAUAUAAAAUUCAUAGGUUCCCAUGAGGAAAGUAUGUAGCAAAUGUAUGCAAAAAUUUAUUUUCACUUUCUAUCUUUAUUCUUGUCUUUCGGAUCAAUUCCCAGAAAGUGAAAUAUCACUGGCAAUGUCAACAUUUGUUGCCUCCUGGAUGAUGUGGUCAUUCAUAGUGGUUAUAGAAUCAUCAAUAGAAUCUGUAGAAAAUGGAAGCAAACUAUUCGGCCCAUCAGGUCCAC